rnacentral:rRNA from 1 species
UACGUAGGGGGCAAGCGUUGUCCGGAUUCAUUGGGCGUAAAGAGCUCGUAGGCGGUUCAGCAAGUCGGGUGUGAAACCUCCAGGCUCAACCUGGAGACGCCACCCGAUACUGCUGUGACUUGAGUCCGGUCAGGGGACCACGGAAUUCCUGGUGUAGCGGUGAAAUGCGCAGAUAUCGGAAGGAACACCUGUGGCGAAAGCGGCUCACUGGACCAUUACUGACGCUUGAGGGCACGAAAGCUAGGGAGCAAACAGG